GACGAACGCUGGCGGCGUGCUUAACACAUGCAAGUCGAGCGGUAAGGCCUCUUCGGGGGUACACGAGCGGCGAACGGGUGAGUAACACGUGAGUAAUCUGCCCUUCACUCUGGGAUAAGCACUCGAAAGGGUGUCUAAUACCGGAUACGACGCACUCUCGCAUGGGAUGUGUGUGGAAACUUUUGGGGGUGGGGGAUGUGCUCGCGGCCUAUCAGCUUGUUGGUGGGGUAAUGGCCUACCAAGGCUUUGACGGGUAGCCGGCCUGAGAGGGUGACCGGCCACACUGGGACGGAGAUACGGCCCAGACUCCUACGGGAGGCAGCAGUGGGGAAUAUUGGACAAUGGGCGGAAGCCUGAUCCAGCAACGCCGCGUGAGGGAUGACGGCCUUCGGGUUGUAAACCUCUUUCAGUAUCGACGAAGCGCCCGUGUGGGUGGUGACGGUAGGUACAGAAGAAGCACCGGCCAACUACGUGCCAGCCGCCGCGGUAAUAC
rnacentral:rRNA from 1 species